AGCUGCCAAGCCGCCCAGGGCAGGCAUGUAGCAACCACCCGCA
rnacentral:SRP_RNA from 12 species